GACGAACGCUGGCGGCGUGCCUAAUACAUGCAAGUCGAACGAAAAGGCCGGGCUUUUGUUCCCUGGACGAGUGGCGAACGGGUGAGUAACACGUGAGUAACCUGCCCUUUAGCGUGGGAUAACUAUUGGAAACUAUGGCUAAUACCGCAUAAGAGCUCCUGCUGCAUGAUGUUUGCUUGAAAGGUUCGGUUGUUUCGGUACUAGUUGGUGCUUCGCAGUAUUAGCUAGUUGUUGUGGUAAUGGCUGACUAAGACGGCGAUGCGUAGUCGACGAGAGAGGGUGAUAGGCCACACUGGAGCUGAGACACGGACAAGACUCCUACGGGAGGCAGCAGUAGGGAAUCUUCGGCAGUGGUCGGAAGUCUGACAGAGCAACGCCGCGUGAGUGAUGGAGGUGUUGGGAUCGUAAAGCUCUGUUUUGAGAGAAGAACAGGUGUGGGAGUAGAAGUUGCGCGCUUGACGGUAAUGGGUCAAGAAGCGACGGCUAACUACGUG
rnacentral:rRNA from 1 species